GGGGGUGCUUGGUUUCGAUUCUGGGGAUCAAGGCAGGUGAAGCGAGCCGAGGGACCCCGGGGUCCUCGUAAAAAAUCCGGGAAAACAAAUAAACGACACAAACAGCUACGCACACGCUGCCUAGCUUCGGCUAGAUAGCGCGUCCUCACCGGUUCUGCUGCUCGACCGGUGAUCGGGCGUCAUCCAGAGUGGCUUACCGGAGGGGCGGGCCCGGAGCCCUCCCGGGACACUUUCCGGGCUGGAGCGGCGGCCGCGGGCCGGUGAUCGGCUGUCGCUCGAGAUCUCCUCGCCGGCUGCGCUCGGAGAAGCCCUGUCGAGAACUCGGAAGACGCGGGUUCGACUCCCGCCACCUCCACCA
rnacentral:tmRNA from 1 species